GAUGAACGCUAGCGGGAGGCUUAACACAUGCAAGUCGAGGGGCAGCAUAGGGUAGCAAUACUCUGAUGGCGACCGGCAAACGGGUGAGUAACGCGUAUGCAACCUACCCUGUACAGGGGGAUAACCCGGAGAAAUUCGGACUAAUAUCCCGUAAUAAUAUCCGGAGGCAUCUUUGGAUAUUUAAAGUUUCGACGGUACGGGAUGGGCAUGCGUAACAUUAGCUGGUUGGUAAGGUAACGGCUUACCAAGGCUAUGAUGUUUAGGGGUCCUGAGAGGGUGGUCCCCCAACUGGUACUGAGACACGGACCAGACUCCUACGGGAGGCAGCAGUGAGGAAUAUUGGUCAAUGGGCGCAAGCCUGAACCAGCCAUCCCGCGUGCAGGAAGACGGCCCUAUGGGUUGUAAACUGCUUUUCCAGGGAGAGAAACUUACGCACGUGUUGCGUGACUGACGGUACCCUGGGAAUAAGCAUCGGCUAACUCCGUGCCAGCAGCCGCGGUAAGAGUGUGUGUA
rnacentral:rRNA from 1 species